GGCGAUGCGGCUUGCCGGAUGGAAUGAGAUCGACCAAGGAUAUGGCCAUUGCGUUCGAUACUCGGCGCAGCAGUACGAUGGAGAUGUUGCCUCUGCCACUCUCAAGUAGCGCAAUGUAACGUUCGGAAAUGCCCGACGUCUGGGCCAGCGNUGCGCGACAUGCCGCGAAUACCGCGUGCGGCCAUGACUCGUUGACCGAGUUCCUCCAGAAA
rnacentral:misc_RNA from 1 species